AUUGGACGCUGGCGGCAGGCCUAACACAUGCAAGUCGAGCGGAUGAGUGGAGCUUGCUCCAUGAUUCAGCGGCGGACGGGUGAGUAAUGCCUAGGAAUCUGCCUGGUAGUGGGGGACAACGUUUCGAAAGGAACGCUAAUACCGCAUACGUCCUACGGGAGAAAGUGGGGGAUCUUCGGACCUCACGCUAUCAGAUGAGCCUAGGUCGGAUUAGCUAGUUGGUGAGGUAAAGGCUCACCAAGGCGACGAUCCGUAACUGGUCUGGGAGGAUGAUCAGUCACACUGGAACUGAGACACGGUCCAGACUCCUACGGGAGGCAGCAUUGGGGAAUAUUGGACAAUGGGCGAAAGCCUGAUCCAGCCAUGCCGCGUGUGUGAAGAAGGUCUUCGGAUUGUAAAGCACUUUAAGUUGGGAGGAAGGGCAGUAAGUUAAUACCUUGCUGUUUUGACGUUACCAACAGAAUAAGCACCGGCUAACUUCGUGCCAGCCGCCGCGGUAAAAC
rnacentral:rRNA from 1 species